rnacentral:rRNA from 1 species
AGUGAACGCUGGCGGCAGGCCUAACACAUGCAAGUCGAGCGGCAGCGCGGGGGCAACCCUGGCGGCGAGCGGCGGACGGGUGAGGAAUUCGUCGGAAUCUGCCUUUUUGUGGGGGAUAACGUAGGGAAACUUACGCUAAUACCGCAUACGUCCUACGGGAGAAAGUGGGGGACCGCAAGGCCUCACGCAGAAAGAUGAGCCGACGACCGAUUAGCUAGUUGGUGGGGUAAAGGCCCACCAAGGCGACGAUCGGUAGCUGGUCUGAGAGGAUGAUCAGCCACACUGGGACUGAGACACGGCCCAGACUCCUACGGGAGGCAGCAGUGGGGAAUAUUGGACAAUGGGCGCAAGCCUGAGCCAGCCAUGCCGCGUGUGUGAAGAAGGCCUUCGGGUUGUAAAGCACUUUUGUCCGGAAAGAAAUCCCUGGAGCUAAUACCUUCGGGGGAUGACGGUACCGGAAGAAUAAGCACCGGCUAACUUCGUG